rnacentral:lncRNA from 1 species
AGAUUAUGUAGACCGCGUAAAGGUUUUAGACUACACGCCCCAUCCUAAAUAAUUAAGUGGCUCUUGCUUCUUUCCUGGAAGCAAGAUACUGAAACUGGUGAUUUCAAAGCAUACAUCUCUUGUAACUUAUGCAGUAACAUCUCCUGAAUGAUUUCUAUAUUUAAUGAUAUACAUCUGAUUUACCUGGACAAAAUCUAUAUGGAUAAUCUACACGCGAGUGUUGCAGCUUUGAAAAAGCUUCCAGAGGCCGGAGGCAAUUAUCUGUCAAACAAUCUUCUCUCAAGGGUUUCAGAUGGUGCACACUUCAAUCAUUUUAUAGCAAGUUUGGAUAUAUCGUGUUGCAGGCUUUCUAAAUUAGUAGCAAAUUUUUUCUUUUAUGUCAUGUAUUGUUUUUGGCGGUUGAGAAACAGAAAUACAUUUCGUUGGACGUUGGUACCACUUCCUUAAGCAACAUAUCUUCGGCUUAGAACAUAAAUAUGGUAUGCAAAAUUUUAUAUUUGUUUCAGUUUUAUAAAGAUUAGUGACAUUUCUAAUGCGGAAGUCAAUUGUUAUCGUGUAUUAGUUCCUUUAAGAAGAUAUGUUAUAUUUUCUUUUUAACACUGAGCAGCUUCUAUGAGGAAGGACCAUACGAGUAGAGUUUUCCCAGCGAUCUGUCAACAAAACACGUUUUGAAGCAUUUCCACUCAGCGAUAAUGCACUGGCACACUAUCAAUCUAUUUUAAAGUCCAGCCUUGCUGUAAUGACUAUGUCAGGAUAAUGUGUGAAAUGUAAUUAAUUUUUAUUCAGUUAUAGUCAAGUUCACAGUGACAAAUGCGGGUCGUAUGCUCAAGAACACAAAUGCAAUUAAUUUUUAUUCAGUUAUAGUCAAGUUAUAGCUAGU